rnacentral:rRNA from 1 species
AUGGAUUUGGAGACUUCCAGGCUGCAGAAUGUGAACAUGCCGGCAUAUUACCAUUCAUCAGCAUUUCAUGAAGUGAGGGCGACAACUGAUCCUCUCUACAAAUGGCUAUUUAUAAUUUGCCUAUUGCACGCUUCUGUCCGUUUGACUCGUUUACACCUGCGUAUGCAAUUACUGUCCAAGCUUCACUCUUCAGUAUGCAGUGCACCCCUGAUCUGUAUGUGGAUCAGGUUACCUAACAUACUGGAUUUUACCGAGCUGGAUGGCACAAGACAAAAGAGGGCGGGCAUCUUGGCUGCUGCCUGGAAACAUUCUGGGAAACAUGACUCGGUCAUUGUUCUUGACCCCUCUUGA